CCUAAGACAUGCAAGUCGAACGAAGUAGCCUAAUGAAGACUGAGUGCUUGCACAAAGUUUGAUUUAGAUUUCUACUUAGUGGCAGACGGGUGAGUAACACGUGGGUAACCUACCUCAGAGACUGGGAUAACAGUUAGAAAUGAUUGCUAAUACCGGAUGAUUCAUAGUUAGAUAACUAAUUAUGCUAAAAGGAGCUUUCGCUUCACUUUGAGAUGGGCUUGCGUUGUAUUAGUUAGUUGGUGGGGUAAUGGCCUACCAAGACAACGAUGCAUAUCCGAGCUGAGAGGCUGAUCGGACACACUGGGACUGAGACACGGCCCAGACUCCUACGGGAGACAGCAGUUAGGAAUAUUCGUCAAUGGGGGAAACCCUGAACGAGCAAUGCCGCGUGAGUGAUUAAGGUCUUAUAGAUUGUAAAACUCUGUUGUAAAGAAAGAAACCUUAAGAUAGGAAAUGAUCUUAAGCUGACGGUACUUUACCAGAAAGCCCCGGCUAACUACGUGCC
rnacentral:rRNA from 1 species